AGCGGCGGACGGGUGAGUAACGCGUGGGUAACCGUGCCUCAUACAGGGGGAUAACAGUUGGAAACGGCUGCUAAUACCGCAUAAGCGCACAGUACUGCAUGGUACGGUGUGAAAAACUCCGGUGGUAUGAGAUGGACCCGCGUCUGAUUAGGUAGUUGGUGGGGUAACGGCCUACCAAGCCGACGAUCAGUAGCCGACCUGAGAGGGUGACCGGCCACAUUGGGACUGAGACACGGCCCAA
rnacentral:rRNA from 1 species